rnacentral:rRNA from 1 species
AACGAACGCUGGCGGCAUGCCUAACACAUGCAAGUCGAACGAGACCUUCGGGUCUGGUGGCGCACGGGUGCGUAACGCGUGGGAACCUGCCCUUAGGUUCGGAAUAACUCCCCGAAAGGGGUGCUAAUACCGGAUAAUGUCUUCGGACCAAAGGUUUAUCGCCUUUGGAUGGGCCCGCGUUGGAUUAGCUGGUUGGUAGGGUAAAAGCCUACCAAGGCGACGAUCCAUAGCUGGUCUGAGAGGAUGAUCAGCCACACUGGGACUGAGACACGGCCCAGACUCCUACGGGAGGCAGCAGUGGGGAAUAUUGGACAAUGGGCGAAAGCCUGAUCCAGCAAUGCCGCGUGAGUGAUGAAGGCCUUAGGGUUGUAAAGCUCUUUUACCCGGGAUGAUAAUGACAGUACCGGGAGAAUAAGCUCCGGCUAACUCCGUG